GGAUAUGUACUUGCAAAGGACUCUGGGAAAUGUAGUCCAGUCCUGCCGCAGCCCAAAGAGGAAGGAGUCCUGCAGUGCCCAAGCCAGACUAUUUCCUGAGAACCUCUGUUCUUACCUACUGCUUUAAGCAGGUUGGUGUGCCAGCCUGUGGGUAUCUGCACAGGAAUACAGGUGCAUACAGAGGCCAGAGAUCCCCUGGACAGAUCCCCUUGGAGCUGGAAUGACAGACAACUAGGAGCCACCUGCCAUGGGUAGCAGGAACAGGUAAUGACACCAUCUGUAGGUGGUAUACCAUAGAUGUACAGAAGGCACAUGAGAGUGUGUGCACACAUGCACACGUGUGUACAUGUACAUGCACAAAGAGUGGGCUAUACAAAUGGAAGGCAGAUGCAUACUCGGAACCUGUCCGUGAUUCCUACUUCUCAAGCAUCCGUUUAAUGCUGCUUACUGCUUUUUUGUUUCUAUAACCUCUUUAUUGACAUUUAAUCUUUGCACCCUAACAUGCAUCUCUUCAAAUGCAGAGUCUGAAGGUCUUUAGCAUGUUGUCUUUAGCAUGCUGUGCAAGUUGUGCACGGAUUGAACUCUCUUACCCUGCAAUGGUUGGAAUGAACCACCAACUUGACAGGAUCCAGGGAAUCUCCCAGGAGAUGACCCCUAGGCAUGCUUGCAGGGGAUCAUCUUGAUUUUGUUCUCUGAGGUAGGAAGACCUGCCCACUGUGGGUGGUGCCAUCCCCUGGCUGGGAUCCUGGACUGUAUAAAAGCAACAGGGGGCUGAGCAGUGGCCUGCACCCAUAGCUCUCUGCUUCCUAACUGUGGCCGGAUGUGAGGAUGUGAUGUGACCAACUCCCUCAGGCUCCUGCCGCAGUGACUUCCCAACCGUGAUGGAUUGUAACUUGCAACUCUGAGCAAAAUAAAUCCUUUCUCCCUGAA